UAUGUAUGGUGCAAGCGUUAUCCGGAAUGACUGGGUGUAAAGGGAGCGUAGACGGUUGUUCAAGUCUGAUGUGAAAGCCCUCGGCUUAACUGGGGGAGUGCAUUGGAAACUGAAGGACUAGAGUAUCGGAGAGGCAAGUGGAAUUCCUAGUGUAGCGGUGAAAUGCGUAGAUAUUAGGAGGAACACCAGUGGCGAAGGCGGCUUGCUGGACGAAAACUGACGUUGAGGCUCGAAAGCGUGGGGAGCAAACAGG
rnacentral:rRNA from 1 species